UUAAUGAAAAAAAGCUUUCUGAUUACUGUGGAGCCUGUGAGAUUGGGACAAAUCCAUAUCCAGUAUACGCUGCAGUGGAAAAGACAAAUGUGAAUAAGGGCAUUAAAUUUAAACCAGGUGGGUCCAGAUAAAAGUGAUUACUAAUAGCUUAGUAUUACUAAUUGCUUCUGUAACUAAUAAACAAAUGCAAUUUCAGAAACCUGGUUUGAAUUCACUCCACACACAUCUGGAUUUCCUGCAUAUAAAGAAUAUGUGGACACAAAGCUAUUGGGCAGUGAAUUCAAACAAGGCAAAGUUACAAAGAGCCAGCCUGAGAGAGAAGUUGGUUUUCUGCAAGGUAAGUUAAAAUUUUGAUAAAUGUAACUUUGCACCUUUAUUACACCUUUUCUAUCUUUGCAACUAUGCCUUGUUAGAGAUUGACAUAUCUUGCUGAGGACCCUCUCCCUUCCUGACAGUCUUUCAUGUCUAGUGUACGUCCUUUUAUUUGCAAGUUGACAUUUCAUUUUAAGUUCUAAAGUUUUAUCAGGACAAAGGAAAACACAGGUAUCCACCACAUAUACAUAUAGAAAAAAAAAACCUUCAUCCAAUUUCUCAUCACCCAUAUGAACAAUGAAAAUUAGUGAUUCCACCUGGCUUGGCUCAGUUUGUGAUAUUGCAGCUGGUUCCCUGACAAUUAGGCACUGUGGGCUUGAUUAUAAGGCACUGUAUAUGGUGAUGUAUGUAGAGCUAUGAAGCAAGGGUAGGUAAAACUAUAAAAUGUACACUCACGUGUAAUGGAGCCGUAAAACCUGGCUCCUCUGAUCGCGCUUGAAGUGGUAUGAUCCCCACUCAAAGAUACAGGUGUAGAUAUAAAUCUUCUGUCCGUGUAUAUGUGGAGAUAAACAAACAGAACCACCAUAGUGUACACCGUAAAAAGGAGUGUAAGCAGAAAUAAAGAAGUUAAACCUACUCACAUGCUAAAGAGCAAGUGAGCAUGGUUUAUCUUGCCUAUCACAACUACAGUUUUAAAAUGCUACACUAUUUCUUCUCAUGUUCUCUCCACAUAUACCUUGUCACAUAUUCUAUGUGUAUUUUGAUAUACAUAAUCAAAAUACAGUUAAAACAAAAUUACAUAUAUUUUUAACUUUCAGUGUGUAUAUGUGUAUAUAUAUGUGUGUGUGUGUAUAUAUAUAUAUACACAUAUACACACUGAAAGUUAAAAAUAUAUUUUGAUCUUUGAGUGUGUUUAUGUAUGUGUGUAUGUGUAUAUAUAUGUGUGUGUGUGUAUAUAUAUAUAUAUAUAUAUAUAUAUAUAUACACACACACACACACAUUGAAAGAUCAAAAUAUAUAUAUAUUUUUUUGUUUUGUUGCAUCCAAGUAAAACAACUCAAUAGCUUUAAUAACUAAAGACUACUAAUCUAAAUGUAAUGAUGUUCACAUUUUAUUGUUUAUAAUGUAUAAAUAUAACAUGUUUAAUAUCGUAACUAUAAUGGCACCCAAGUACACGAAGGGUUAACGCCGUUUAGGAUGUUCCCUUUCCGAAUGCCAAGGCAGCUAACUCUCCAAUCAGCCGAACAGGAAUCAGCACGCACGUAACCGGCACGGUGACAAGGCUCUGUAUUGAAGGUCAAGCAGUGAACUGGUUUAAUGUGGGCUACCUGCCUGGUAUUUAUGCAAGUCUUCCACCAGGUGGACACUCCCCUAGGGGACCUUGUGGAAAACGGACACCGUAAUAAUACAGUAGCCAAGCACAAGAUUGCAGACAUAAACACUCCCCUUUAGUUGUAAGGGACCCUCCUCUCUAUCCUGGAGAUAAUUGGGAGGUAAUGCAAUUAUCUCCAAGGAUAGAGGCAAAACUCCAUUUUAUACAUGGUAGAAAAAACACAAAAAUAUAUAACAUGAAAACUACCGAAUGCACUAGGUACAAUUAACAUGUCCCCAGAUAGCUUAGAUCUGAGCGCACAUUAUUACCGAAUGGCGCUCAGAUCACAUACAUACAGUUCAAUCGCCAUGGAGCCAAAGUCUUUCACAUAGUCUUUCGUUGUACGAAUGGGCUCCAUGGCAUGGCUAUCUGGGGAAAGUUCAUUUGUGCAGAAAAGUACCGAACAGAUCGGCGCUCAUAUGAUGGAGAAAUAGGAGCGAUGUUGGCGGCUUCAGAGGUGUCCGUGCAAAAUAGUUUACGUUUUUAGUUCCAUGAAAUCGUUGAUGAACACUGCUGGGCAUUAGUUUGUCCAAGAUGGCCACCGUCUCAUGUUCGUUAUACAAACGACUACCACCCAGCCUACAUUCGACAAUUAAGAGGUGUCUGCGGUUAACCUCAACGUUCUAAUGAGGCCAAGAGGUUAACCAGCAGCACGCUUCCAUGCUGGGUGACCAGCUGUUUCAGCAGUUCGUUCGGUAAGAUGAAGAAUAAACGUACAGGCUGUACGGACAAAGAACUAGCCAAACAAACAGACGAACCAAGGAGAAAUAAAGCAGUUUAAAAGACAGAGAGGUCUGUCACAGUAACUAUUUAAACAACCUGUGAAAUAAAGAAUUAUAAAUAGGAAGAAAUAUACAAUAAUAUGGCCCACACCAAUACUCCAGACAGCCGGAUAAACUAUGCCUAAGUAGGGGAAUAGAAAUGUAAUUAGUUCAUCGAAAGUAUGUUAGAACGUACGUAUCUUGCACAACUAGUGCAUGGUUGAGAGAAAAAAAAUGGAAUCCGUGUGAAAGUGGGUGUAAAAGGGAAUAAACGCCACCUUCACACUGAUGAACUGCACCAGAAGGGCACUCUACCAAGGGCUUAACCCUAGAUGCUAACAGAAAUUCAGUUUGUGACUUUUUUAAAAAAAAAAAAAUUUUUGUUGGUAGAGCUUGAGAAAGGAAUAUAUUCUAUAUUAAUAAAAUACACUUGGACUGUGUGUGUGUGUGUGUAUGUGUAUGUAUGUAUGUAUGUAUGUGUGUGUGUGUGUGUAUGUGUAUGUAUGUGUGUGUGUGUGUAUGUAUGUGUGUGUGUGUGUGUGUAUGUAUGUGUGUGUGUGUAUGUGUGUGUGUGUGUGUGUGUAUGUAUGUGUGUGUGUGUGUAUGUAUGUGUGUGUGUAUAUAUGUAUAUAUAUAUAUAUAUAUAUAUAUAUAUAUAUAUAUAGUAAUUUUUUUUUCAACGGUUUUAAAACAUUAUUAAACUUUUCUACAGGCAGCAGGGGGACUACCUGUCAUUCCAGACGCCUCCCCUGCUAUGGCACUGCAAUUUGAUCGUGAGGUCCGAAUUGGCAGGUAAGUCUCGCCCCUCCCAUCGUGAUCGCCGGCGUGGGAUCGAUAGUAAGUGGGAAGGACGGCGUGUACGUGUUAUGCCGCCCGCCGGCAUUUAGAGCCAGGUCCCCAAGGAUAGUAUAGCAUGCGUGCCGUCCUUAAAGGGUUAAGUACUCAUGGAUGAAUACCGUCAAGCCCUGGAGCUUUGUUUAUAUCAUCUUUAUUUAGUUGCUGCAGCACUUUGUCUUGAAUUAGCCAAUUACAAUUUUUGAGUUUUUUUGCAGCAAUCGUUUGCAUAUCUAUUGCCUUUGGUCAGGGGUUCCAAAUUUUAUUUUUUUUCCUAUGGAAUAGUGUAUCAACAUCUAGGAAGCCUUCCCACCCUCGCCGUCACCAAAAAAAAAAAAAAAAUUGCAGUGUUGCAUAAAGUUUUCAAUUCUCAGAGUAUAAUGCUGUUUUUUUUCUUUUGUUUUUUUUAAACUAUGUAUAUACACAUUAAUUUCUACAGACAGUAAACAGUGUAGCAUUUGGGAGCAGUGGUGCUCCUGUGGGUAGCAUUGGUGUUUGUAUAUGAUUUUAACAUUAUACAGUGAUGUGUUUGUAUAUAAUGUUUGCAUUUGUGUGCAGAGGUAUGUUUGGAUGUAGUGUUGGAUUUUAAAUGCAGAUGUACAUUUGUGUAUAGUAGUGGUGUUUGUAUAUAAUUUUGGAGUUACAGUUCAGGGGUGUCUUUUCAUGACAUGCUUGUGUUUACAGAUGUGUGUUUGUUGUUAGUCCCCUAAAUUACUUUAGCUAAAUAAAGCUGUUUUAGUGUAUAGAUCAUUCCCCUGCAAUUUCACUGCUCAAUUCACUGCGGCGCUAGCCACACCUCCUCUGGCUAUGAUUGACAGUCUGCAUGAAAAAAAAAACUGGUUUCACUUUCAAACAGAUGUAAUUUACCUUAAAUAAUUGUAUUUCAAUCUCUAAAUUUAUCACAUACAGGAGGCUCUUGCAGGGUCUAGCAAGCUAUUAACAUAGCAGGGGAUAAGAAGAUCUUAAUUAAGCAGAACUUGCAAUAAAGAAAGCCUAAAUAGGGCUCUCUUUACUGUCAGGAUAUUUAUAUCGGCAGACAUUUUGUGCUAAGAUAGAAAUUAAGUGUAUAUUGCCAGAGUCACUCAGAACAGAGCGGACUCCAUUUUGGAUUUCAGGCAAGACAGACACAAAAUUUCUUUCCUUUCUGUAACUAAUCACUAGCCUGAGCUAAGGAAUGCAUUAUGUAAACAAGCCAAGUGAUAAGCAAUGAAGCAGAGGGGUGCUCUGUUUAAAUGUUAAUGGAAUAGAAAUAAUUUUAAACACAGACACUAGUGACAGAAGACUCAGUAAUUAAUUUUACUUUCAAAAUUUUACACGGUUCCAUUGUAAGUAAGGGGUGAAAUUGAGUUUAGAACUGUCAGUUUUAGAAAUUACAACAGGAAUUGUCGAGGCGCUGUCUGGAGAAAAUCCAAAGAAACGCUUUGAACUGACAGCAAAUUUAAGUUAUGGUAGUCAUUUUAGAUAAGCCAAAUUACGUCAAAAUCGUCAUCAGGAAAAGUUAACUCUUUCCUGGAUAGGAAAGUUUAAUGGGGCAAUUACGCCCUUUAUUGACCAAAACCUAUAAAAUACUAGAUAACGUUGACACACUUACAGUUUCCUAUUGGCCUUAUCAACUAAUGACGUACAGAGUCUGGCCAUUUAAAAGUUAGGACAAAGGGAAGGGAGAGGUGAGUGUGGGCAUUCAGAUUCGGACGUUCAGAGAGAUCCAGGACAGAUAUUCAGGACACUCUGGGACUAACACUCAACUCUCAAACUCUCUUGGACACAACUCAAGAAACACUCCUUGACACUUAGAAUUUUACUAUUACUUUCUAACCAACAUCACUUUUCUCUAUUACUUACACACCUCCAUACAACCAAUCAUACUUGCAUUCAAGCUCCUGGGACUACAGACUCAUCUGAUGAGAACAUCUACAUCAUAACUGGUAAUUAUGCUGGUUUUAUUUAAUAAAUCUAAAUUAAUUAAAAUCUAUUAAUAGCAGGACACAUGCAUGGAUAAAUCACAAUCAGAUCCCAUAAUUGAGGAAUCUUGAUUAAAGAAUAUGUAGUUAUAACACUCCAUUCUGCAGGUGGAGUCAGAUAAUUACAUAGUACUGGUAUUUUGCCACGUGUUAGCAUACCGCUGUCUUUAUCCAUGUGUGUUGAUUUGCUCUAGAUUAAAAUAUAUAUCUUUUUAGGCAAAUUAAAAUUCGGCUUAUAGAAUCUGUAGAUUUGACUCUUUUGGAUGGUUCCAGGAAAUGAUUAAUGAGCUGGUUUGAAUGUUAUUUUAAUUGAAAAUUACAUGAGAAUAGGAUAUUAUAGGCCUAGGAGGAUCUAGCCAGCAUUGAAAGGGUUACUCGGUUGAUCUAACGGUUAGCCAAGGUUUUAUGGCUUUUCGCUGGAAGUCUAGCUUUCUGUGUCUGUGAAGUACCCUCAUAAAUCUUGUAAGUCUUGACAGUUGAUGCUGUAGCUUUGUACUGUGUUUAACCAUUGCCAUUGUAUACGACGUUAUACUAAAUAUUCACUGAUUAUUAUCAUGCAUGCUGCCUAAUAUUAUUUUAUUUGUCACAAUAAAUUAUAUCUAUUUUUAUAACAAAUUGUGAUUUUAUUUGUAUGGAAUACUUUUCACUUACAUGAUAAUGAUUUCUAAGAUCUAAGAGAAUUGAAAUAGUGGGCAAUUCUCAACUGUAUAAUAUGAUCAUCCCAUAAAUAUCCCCACAUUACAGGAAGUGUUUAUGGAAGGCUUUGCAAGUCACAUGCAGAAAGGUGUGACUAGGGUUCAUAAACAAAGGGAUUUAACUCCUAAAUGGCAGAGGAUUGAGCAGUGAGGCUGCAUGUUCUAUACACCAAAACUGCUUCAUUAAUCUAAAGUUGUUCAGGUGACUAGUGUCCCUUUAAAUGUCUACAUGUACUGUCACAAACAUACACAUUAACAAACACACCGGCACAUAGUCAUAUACGCACCUACACACACACCUACACAGAUACACACGCUGGCACAUAGAAACACAGAUGCACACUGCUGACACACACACGGUGGCACACAGAUACACACCUUGGCACAUGUUGGCACACAGAUAUACAGACAGACACAGACCCACGCACACACACAUGUUUAUAUUUGCUGUUUACUUACCUUUUUUCUUCCUUCAAUGCGGCUUGCUGAGGAUGGUGUGCCAGGUCGGCAGGUGCUCACUCUCUGCUGCACUCCCUCUCGCCAGCGCUUUUCUAUCUGGGAGGAAUUGCUGUCAUUUCCUCCCAUCAUCCCAUACAACAGGGGUCUGGCCCUAAAUGCUUGGGCCACGUGAAGGGCAAAUCGCCGUGGAACCCCAAUUUUGUUCUCCAACUGGGAAACGCUGCCAUAGGUUAUUCCUUAAUAUAUACUGAGCAGAAAUAUUUAAAAUGUUUGCCUUUUCCUGGUCUUCUUUAACCAACUCCCCCAUCCCAGUUUUUAGUGUACCCAUACUUUCAUUUUUGUUUUAUUACAAUUUAUGUACUUAAAGGUUAGUUUUGCUCUCUGUCACCUUCUCAUUUUGUAGUUUAGCGAAUCAAAUUGCAUUUUUGCAUGCAUUAUUGGCUUUUAUAGGAUGCCUCUGAUUUGUCUGAUUUUUAAAGGCUUUGAAUGCCAUUUUCUUUAAUUUCCUAAUUCACUUUCCCAGUACGCCACAUUAGUUUCAAUAAGUUUUUUUAACCCCUUAAGGAACAAACUUCUGGAAUAAAAGGGAAUCGUGAAAUGUCACACAUGUCAUGUGUCCUUAAGGGGUUAAUAUUUAUUUCCCAAUGGUACAUACUGAGAUAUUAACCUUUCUAAUAUUUGUUUAAAGAUCUUAAAGGUGUUCUAUUUACUAAAGCGUUUAUGCCAGUCAAUAUGUUGUAAAGCUGCCCUUAACUUGGCCUAUUUAAAAAAAUAUGUUCUAGUAUUCCCCAUGUACAUAAAUCAUUAUGUUAUGUAAAGUUAAAAUAUCAACUUUUUGUCUCUGACUAUAUGUAAUGUUUAAUUUACCUUCUUAGGAAUCUGGGGCAGUGCACUUGCAAGUGAAAAAG